rnacentral:rRNA from 1 species
GACGAACGCUGGCGGCGUGCUUAACACAUGCAAGUCACGGGGGCUGGAGCAAUCCAGUAACCGGCGAACGGGUGCGUAACACGUGAGCAACCUGCCGUACUCAGGGGGAUAGCCGGCCCAACGGCCGGGUAAUACCGCAUACGAUUCUUCGGGGGAGUCCCCGGGGAAGGAAACCUCUGGGGGAGUACGAGGGGCUCGCGGCCUAUCAGCUAGUUGGUGCGGUAACGGCGCACCAAGGCGACGACGGGUAGCUGGUCNGAGAGGAUGGCCAGCCACAUUGGGACUGAGAGACGGCCCAGACUCCUACGGGAGGCAGCAGUGGGGAAUCUUGCGCAAUGGCCGAAAGGCUGACGCAGCGACGCCGCGUGGGGGAUGAAGCAUUUCGGUGUGUAACCCUGUUGCCCGGACGAACAGCGCUUUCGAGGCGCCUGACGGUACCGGGUGAGGAAGCACCGGCUAACUCCGUGCCAGCA